rnacentral:rRNA from 1 species
CCUACGGGAGGCAGCAGUGGGGAAUAUUGCACAAUGGGGGAAACCCUGAUGCAGCGACGCCGCGUGAGUGAAGAAGUAUCUCGGUACGUAAAGCUCUAUCAGCAGGGAAGAAAAUGACGGUGCCUGACUAAGAAGCCCCGGCUAACUACGUGCCAGCAGCCGCGGCGAUACGAAGGGGGGAAGCGUUGUCCGGAUAUACUGGGGGGAAUAGGAGCGUCGACGGCAGCACAAGUCUGCAGUGAAAUCCCGGGGCUUAACCCCGGAACUGCUUUGGAAACUGUGCGGCUGGAGUGCAGGAGAGGUAAGCGGAAUUCCUAGUGUAGCGGUGAAAUGCGUAGAUAUUAGGAGGAACACCGGUGGCGAAGGCGGCUUACUGGACUGUAACUGACGUUGAGGCUCGAAAGCGUGGGGAGCAAACAGGAUUAGAUACCCCAGUAGUC